UACGUAGGGACCGAGCGUUGUCCGGAAUCAUUGGGCGUAAAGCGCGCGUAGGCGGCCCGGUAAGUCCGCUCUGAAAGUCCAGGGCUCAACCCUGGAAUGCGGGUGGAUACUGCCGGGCUAGAGUCCGGAAGAGGCGAGUGGAAUUCCUGGUGUAGCGGUGGAAUGCGCAGAUAUCAGGAGGAACACCAAUAGCGAAGGCAGCUCGCUGGGACGGUACUGACGCUAAGGCGCGAAAGCGUGGGGAGCGAACAGG
rnacentral:rRNA from 1 species